rnacentral:misc_RNA from 1 species
AAAUUUUACAUUGAUCAUUUUGAAAAAAAAACACUUUUCGUUUCGAUUUUGUGUUUCAUAUUUUAUUUGUUUGGAUGAAAUGGAUCGCCUCAAGCCAGAUGUGUGGGAUGAUGAUACACGGAUGAAUGUUUUGUUUUCACCUUUUCGUGAAAAAGAUUUGAAUCCUUCUUCGUGGAAUCAGAAAAUGAAGUUUUGGAUCCAAAUCAUUGAGGACGAACACAAACUCACCAACAAAUGCAUCAUUGAAGGAAAAUAUUUACCACAAAUGUUUAAAAGAAAAGGGAAAAUACCUACUUGUAUAGAAACUGUACUUUCGGAAAUGCUAAGUCUCGGAAAGAUUCGAAAACUACAAAACUGUGACAUUCUUCAACCUCCAUCUGGUUCUGGUCGGAAAGGCUGGUUGACCUGGGGAUAUGACACUCUUGUGAAGUCUCCGAUUUCAUGGGGUUGGAAAACGCUGACAAAAGAAAGUUCAGAGGAGGAAAAUCCUAGAUACAUCCUUGAGAGCUGCUUGAAUGAUCAGUGCUCCAAAGUAUUGGAAAGGCUGCAGUGCCAGAUGUAUUGUGACAUUGUAAACAGCAUCAUGGAGUACUCGGAAGUGUACGGUCAAUGUGGAGACCUCUGUUCCUCAGAACUGGAAUUUAAGGUGGUGAUACAACAGCUUGUUAAAGAAAGAAAAGCUGUGAUUAGCACAGAAGAAGACAGUGUGAUUAUCAAAUUCUGCUCACAAAAUGAUGAUAAAGUAAAGAAUAUCACAGGAGAGGACUUAAAAAUUUUCAGGAAUUAAAAAGACUUCAAGUGCACUAAUGAGUAAAAUGGAAAAACUGUCAGUUGUUGGAGAAAGGUAACACAGUAUAUAUUAAAAAAGUCUGUGAAUAGUGUUAGUAAGAUACAUACAGGUAUAUUUUUUAAUACCAAUACACUGUAAUAUUUUAUUUGUAAAUGUACUAUAUGAACCAUUACAUUUUUAUGAUAAAAGUAAAAUCAAAAUUAAUAUACAUGCAUUAUUAAAAAAUUCACUUUUAAUUUGAAUGAUUUUUUAAGGAGGAAUUGGAGUUAUUUAAAAACUUUUCCCAAUGUGUACCUUAUAAACACUGAUAUAAGAUACUACAGAUAAAAUGAGAAGUCUUAUUAUUUUAGUAAUGGAUCAACUCAUAUAUACCGGUAGUAAACUCUUUCUAUGAAACAUAUUACCCUGGGGUUUUUUUCUGAUGUUUAGAUUGAAAAAAGAAGCCAUUCAAUACAGAAACAAAAGCAUGAAGCAACAUUCUUUGAGAACAUUCAAGCAGUACAAGAGAGUCCAGAACAGGAUUUCAAAGUUGUCGAAUUCCAUUGAUCUCCUUGAUGAUAUCUUACACAGAAUAGGCCAUGCUGCAUCUGAAGAAAUGGUUGUUAAGGCAAUUGAAAGUGGGGCCCAGGCACUGAAAGGCAUCAACGAGAGAAAUGACUUGGACAAAGUUAGUGAUGUCAUGGAUGACCUCAAUCAGGCAAUGCAAGAACAAGAGGAAAUUCAGUCUGAAAUAAGCAGAAUUGACCAUGAGGAAGAGGAGUCACUGGAAGCUAGUCUUGAGAGUCUCUUACUGGAAGAUGGUAAAUCAGCAGUGGGUGAUCAGCAAGUGGAUGGAAGAAAACAAGCCUCCAGUGAGGAUGAACUCUCAGACCUCCUUGCUGGUCUUAAGCUACCAGACGUUCCCACUUUCUCACCAGGAAAGUCCAAGGAAUUCAGUGAAAUGGAAUCACAGAGUGAGAUAUUUGUUCCUGAUCUUUCUCCAUCUGACAAAGUUAAAAGAAGCAAAGAAGCUGCAUAAUGGAGAUUGAGUGAAUUCAAAUCCCAUGUCUUUCAUUGAACAUAAUUUUACAAUUCAUAGUUUUAUCAUACUGUAUUUGAGCGGACAAUGCAUUAGCAGUUAUUUUUUAUCAUAUGAAAUACAUCAUAUAUCAUAAAUUAUGUGUACAUUGACUUAAUAAAAGUAUAUUGAUUAAUGAAUAAAUCUGAUGUUAUUCCAAAAAUAAAUCAAACUGGUCCUAUCUU